AAGACUAUAGACCUGCGGAGUACCUGCGGAGGGAUCAUUACUGAGUUUCACAACUCUCUAACCCUGUGUGAACUGAAGUCUGGUUGCUCAGGCAGGCGGCCCCCGGGGGGAGCCGCAGCUUCUCUGAAGCGCCUGCCGGAGGAUACCUAAACUCGUUUUAACAUAUAAUCUUCUGAGUAAUAAAAAAAAAUGAAUCAAAACUUUCAACAAUGGAUCUCU
rnacentral:misc_RNA from 1 species